rnacentral:lncRNA from 1 species
AGGGUUAAUAGCAAACUUUAUUUAUUUAAUUAUUUAGCAAACUAAGCAAAGAUAUAUAUAAGCACAAAAUCUUUAUUUGGGUUUUUAUGAUUAUGCAUCUUUUUAUUAUUUGAGUAAAGUAUAAACGCGAGUAGAAACACUUAGCUGGAUAAAAGGGGGUGCUCUCCCCCAAGCUGGAUUUUGACGUAAUUUCUUCUGAUGUAGCUAGCAGGUGGCGGAGGUGUAUUUGAAUGUUGGCAGUACCCUGAUAGUGAUUAGGAUGUCCUCCGUCUGCUAGUCUUCUUUGAUCCUUGAAUUCUGUGGAGCUCAAAUAGACAACAAAGCUUUGUGGAACUGGUUAAGUGUUAGCAUAAAAAUAUUUUUGCCUUUAUCAUGUUGAGCUUCCUCUAAUAAAUAUUACUCUCUUUGGUAGCAUCAUAAAUUUAUUUUUAUAUUUUCAUUUCUAUAGGACAGGGAUAUUUUUAUUUUAUUUUUACACCACCACAGUGAAUGUACUUAUGGGUUUUAUGCCACGAGCAUACUCACAUGGGGCUUACUGUUUUUAACAUUUUUAUUUUCUUUUCAAGAUAGAAUGAUUAACUAACAAGCCAUUUAAGGAAAGUAAAUAAUUAAUGGGAAAAGGGAAUGUAAAAAGGAUAAAUAUGGAUAAUUACCGAUUUUACCUUUCGGCGAGGGUUCAAUGUUUUAAGUCUUCUGAACAAGGCUUCUCACCGUGUUCAUUCUUCAGGUGUGUCAUUUGAUUCAGGUGUGGACCUUGACGUCUGCAUCUCUUGAUACGGUGUCACCCAUGUUCUUCGUUUGCCCAGCAGUUCGAAGUGCGGCGUUGGCAGUAUCUUGCUCAGUGUGUUUGUGCUCGUAGAUCCAGGUCCUUCACUUGGUAGAGUCUGAGAGUUGAAAAAUCCUCCAUGUUUCUCAAAAUCCAUUUGUCCUGCUCAUAGAGACAAG